UGACAACCUUGAAGGGACCAGCAUAUGGU
rnacentral:sRNA from 1 species